rnacentral:lncRNA from 1 species
CAACAUGCGCACUGGAGAACUCUCAUCCUCAUAUCUUGAAACUGCAUAUCGAGGCUGCCCAAUGACUGAUACUGUAAUGAUAAAAAAUCAAGUCAUGUAGUCUUCGGUAUAUGGAUGACCUUCCAAUAUAUGAUCUUCAUGAACUAUAUGAUCUCAUCGUACAUUCUAAAUAGUGAUAUACUAUGCAUAUUUGAUACGCCAAUCAAUAUGAGCUCUCUCUUGUCGAUCAAUACAAUGAAGUCGCUGGCUGGUAUCAAACUACUCUGAGAUACCCUGAAUCCGACC